CCCCGAACCAUCAAACACCAAUUCCGGAACUGCUGCUACCGCAGCUGCUCCAGGUACACGGCUAAGCUACAAGGGAGUGGACAUAGUCCAGAGGGAGUAGAAAGGAGACAAACAGUCCUUUUUAAGACGCAAAGUGAUAUGAUUAAAAAGAAGAUGCAAUCAGAGAGACUUUCAAAAGAAUAUGGGCAAUUCCUGAAAGCAAACUCAGAAUUUCUAAAUCAUUCAAGGUCCAGAAGCCCAGGAAACUUUCCAUUGUGGAUCCCAUCCACUCCCUCCUAACAGCACAGAGCCCAAGUUCACCUUUGUGACUGAACUCCAACUUUGCUCUCAAUGCACGCUUGCCCUGCCACUUCUUCAACCUGUAAACACCAACAGACCAUAAAUCCAAACACACCUUGUCACCCUACCAGCUCUGAAACCCGCACAAAAUGUUUUCUAAGCAGAUACCUUGAUUUUUGCUUUAAGGAUUUGUAACAACCACAGCAAAGGUUAGUGCAGUAUUUACUUUGCACCAAAUUCUACCGAAGCACUUCUUACAUUAACAAUUAAUCUUCACAGAAUCCCAGGACCUCGGUUUCACCAAGAUCCCCGUGUUAAAAACCAAGGCACGUGGAGCAUAGCGUUUGCUCCAGGGGCACACAAGGAGCGGGUGGCAGAGCCGGAGUUUGACCUCGAAGACGAAGCAGUUUACUUUAACUUGCGGCUGGUACUGCAGCCGCGCCAGGGAAAGCCGACCUAAACCAAGGCAAAACAACAGGAUAGGGAGGCUGCCCAGCAUGCCUCUUUUGGGAAAGCAAGAAGGCUCCCCUUCAGCAGUCACCGUGCAGGACUCCAU